AGAACCACAUUGCAUUGGAUGAAUGAAAUGAUCAAGCAAAAGAAACAUGUGAUGAAGUCUAUAAGGAGUUCCAGAUGCAUCAUCAGUUUGGUAUGAACAUAAAGCCAAGCUAAAUCAUGACCCCGUAGGAUGUGUUGUCCUUUGUUGUGUGCAUACUACCUAGAUUUGUUUUCCCUUCCGUAGCUUAUAUGACUUCUUGGAAGCUACGAUUCUUAGUUGGAUAUCAAAUGUUUUAGAUGUAUGAUGUAUCCUGGAAUCAAUACAUGGCGAAGAAAACUACAUAUAUUAUCUCACAGAACUCUAUCGAAUGAAGCAUGCUUUGCAGUUUUAUGUAUUAUUCCGAGCAAGCUUGCCGC
rnacentral:lncRNA from 1 species